rnacentral:rRNA from 1 species
GACGAACGCUGGCGGCGUGCUUAACACAUGCAAGUCGAACGGAAAGGCCCUGCUUGCAGGGUACUCGAGUGGCGAACGGGUGAGUACACGUGGGUGAUCUGCCCUGCACUUCGGGAUAAGCCUGGGAAACUGGGUCUAAUACCGGAUAGGAGCCAUUUUUAGUGUGAUGGUUGGAAAGUUUUUUCGGUGUAGGAUGAGCUCGCGGCCUAUCAGCUUGUUGGUGGGGUAAUGGCCUACCAAGGCGGCGACGGGUAGCCGGCCUGAGAGGGUGGACGGCCACAUUGGGACUGAGAUACGGCCCAGACUCCUACGGGAGGCAGCAGUGGGGAAUAUUGCACAAUGGGCGCAAGCCUGAUGCAGCGACGCCGCGUGGGGGAUGACGGCCUUCGGGUUGUAAACUCCUUUCGCUAGGGACGAAGCUUUUUGUGACGGUACCUAGAUAAGAAGCACCGGCUAACUACGUG